AUUAGAAUGAAAUAGAACGCAAUGGAAUCAACCUUGUACCCAGGUUCUUUCCACUACACAAGGUUGCAAUGGAAUAGACUGCCAUAGAAUAGAUCGAAAUAGAAUGGAAUAAAAUGACACGAAUAUGAAUGGAAUGAAGUAGAAUAUAAUGAGAUGGAAUAUAAUUGAAUGAAGUAGAAUAGAAUGAAGUAGAAUGAAAUGGAAUAGUAUAAAAUGAAGUAGUAUAAAAUGAAGUAGACUAGAAUGAAAUAGAAUGAAAUGGAAUAGUAUAAAAUGAAGUAGUAUAAAAUGAAGUAGAA